UACCUGCAGCACCAACCCUUCUAUCCAGCCUGCCUCACCGUUCCGUAAUUUUAGACAUCUGAAAUUCGGCAAUUAUUCACAGCUCAGAUAAGACAGCAGUACUUUCUAUCAUUCCUAUUAACCAAAUUCUGGUAGAUAGUCAUCUACGUGAACUGUUUCUCCUCUCCAGGGAAGCAACGUUCAGCGCUGCACGCACAGACACUGAGGUCGCCCAGGUACACAGCUCAGCACCCUCUGCCGUGAUGACCAACCACCUUCAAACAUGGAAUAUACAGCCAAAAUCUACUGACAGAAGAUUGCAGCCCCCUGGAGCUGAGCACAUAAAGGAGAGGGCCAUCAGCUGCAUACACCCUGCUGCAAAGCCUCCUUGUCUGGAGAAAACAAGCACUGGUGGGACCGCAGCACGUUGUCUCUCUGCCACUGCUGUCCCACUACAGAUGUCAGGAAGUUCAAGCAGCCAGUCGACAUUUGCAGAAUGAAUCAUGGGGCACCGCUUUCCACUCUGACAAAAACAACUGCUGUUCAGUCAGCGAGGCGAUGCUGAUCAAAUGGGUGGAUAGAAAAAGUGAACUCCCGGAACUGCUGCCAAAAAGGCUCCACCAGCACAAGGAAGCUGCACGCACUCCCCUGCAGAACUCCCAUUUCUCCCUGUCCUUAUUCUGCAGUUCCAUUUUCCCAGUUUAUUUACCUGCAGAGCGCAGCCUGUGGCACAGCUACCAGCUCUGUCCCAUAACUAGAGAAAACACUUUUGCUGGGAGAAGCUAGAAUCGUUAAAGCUGGAGGAAAGCAGAUAUGAUUUAUGGAACGCGGAGUGCUACAGGAGACAGAAAAAGCAGCUUCCUUUGUUGCCUGUUGCCAAAAUUUCAGAAGACCAGACAACAACUUUCAAAUUUCCAAGGGAACAGCCACUAAGUACGUCAAAAAUAGAGUUAGGAAACUGCCUGUUUCAGAAGUCUGAGUCUGUAAGGGGAGCCAGCAUUUUUCAGCAUUUCUGUCAUUUCCGACCAGAUCACUGAAGAGUUAAGAGACAUCUAUCUACCAACAAAACCCAGCCCCCAGAACAUGACAAAAUGAGGAAGGGAACCUACGUGGCAAAGAAAUAUUCACGUAUUCACAGUCAUUCAAUUAUUUAAAAUAAGUCUAAUUAUUUUUGCACAAUUUUAUCCGGAGAAGUUAUUUUUCCUCUACAAUUUUCAAACAUCUCUGCACUUUCUUAGGCAUAAGAGGCACAGCAGCAGACCAGGGAUCGCUUCACUACAGUCCCCCUUCUGUUCAAAAGCAGAUAAAUCUGAAAGCGUGAAAAAUGCAACCCUCAAUGCUCUUCUCUGAAAGGGGGAGAUAAGACUUUCCGGGUUCUUUCCGACUUAACUGAAAAUUUUGAUUUCAAUGUUGAAAUUAAAGACUUAGAAGAAGG